UGAUGAUGAUGAUGGUGAUGGUGAUUAUUGAUGAUGAUGAUGAUGAUGAUUUUCUUUUGCUUCUUCAUUUCUCUCUGUACAACUUCUUCAAACCAUCGUCAUCGUAUUCAUCAUCAUCAUCAUCAGCAUCAUCAUCAUCAUCAUAU
rnacentral:pre_miRNA from 1 species